rnacentral:rRNA from 1 species
CUGGAGGUAUCAGAAGUGCGAAUGCUGACAUAAGUAACGAUAAAGCGGGUGAAAAGCCCGCUCGCCGGAAGACCAAGGGUUCCUGUCCAACGUUAAUCGGGGCAGGGUGAGUCGACCCCUAAGGCGAGGCCGAAAGGCGUAGUCGAUGGGAAACGGGUUAAUAUUCCCGUACUUGGUGUUACUGCGAAGGGGGGACGGAGAAGGCUAUGUUGGCCGGGCGACGGUUGUCCCGGUUUAAGCGUGUAGGUGUGUGUUCCAGGUAAAUCCGGUUCACUUUAACACUGAGGCGUGACGACGAGGCACUACGGUGCUGAAGCAACAAAUGCCCUGCUUCCAGGAAAAGCCUCUAAGCAUCAGGUAACAUCAAAUCGUACCCCAAACCGACACAGGUGGUCAGGUAGAGAAUACCAAGGCGCUUGAGAGAACUCGGGUGAAGGAACUAGGCAAAAUGGUGCCGUAACUUCGGGAGAAGGCACGCUGACACGUAGGUGAAGUGAUUUACUCACGGAGCUGAAGUCAGUCGAAGAUACCAGCUGGCUGCAA